rnacentral:rRNA from 1 species
AUGUACAUUCCUAGAUUGUUAAUGCACUGGAUCCCAUCCGAACUCCACAAUUAAGCACACUUGGGCUAGAGUAGUACUUGAAUGGGUGACCCUCUUGGGAAGUCCUAGUGUUUUACAUG